rnacentral:rRNA from 1 species
CCUACGGGUGGCAGCAGUGAGGAAUAUUGGUCAAUGGACGAGAGUCUGAACCAGCCAAGUAGCGUGAAGGAUGACUGCUCUAGGGGUUGUAAACUUCUUUUAUAUGGGAAUAAAAUGUUCCACGUGUGGGAUUUUGUAUGUACCAUAUGAAUAAGGAUCGGCUAACUCCGUGCCAGCAGCCGCGGUAAUACGGAGGAUCCGAGCGUUAUCCGGAUUUAUUGGGUUUAAAGGGUGCGUAGGUGGAUUGUUAAGUCAGUUGUGAAAGUUUGCGGCUCAACCGUAAAAUUGCAGUUGAAACUGGCAGUCUUGAGUACAGUAGAGGUGGGCGGAAUUCGUGGUGUAGCGGUGAAAUGCUUAGAUAUCACGAAGAACUCCGAUUGCGAAGGCAGUUCACUGGACUGCAACUGACACUGAGGCUCGAAAGUGUGGGUAUCAAACAGGAUUAGAUACCCGUGUAGUC